UCUGAUGCCAUGAUGCUACAAGAGAAAAGAAGAGAAUAAGAUUGUCUGCAACUUCCAUGCUUUAUAACGACGCUUCCUGCCUGUAGAUGGCGUGAAAAAUACACAAAUGGUGGAGCUUAAAGGUGCUGCUGCUGUUGCAUUGCAUGCAUGUUUGCUGUCAGCAGCCUGGACCAAGGCAACGCCUGGGUGUGGUCCCCGCUUGGCGUGCUUCCUUUUAGGUAUGGCUAGUCAUUAGCAUGCUGAUCAAGUGCGUUUGAUUGCAGUCAUGUGUUUUGCCUUUUUUUUUUUUCUUCUUUUGCAU